GGCCUGUCAGACUCUUCUCACGGUGACCUUGGAGACUCCGAGAUACUGCAUCUGCAGGAGAAGGCCAGUAGACUCCUUCACAGAAGUUGUGGGGAACCUAAGCUCAGCAGACCUCUAUGCUGGAACCGUGCCCAAACCGUCUGUGGUUGGUCCCCCGGACCCCCGCACACGCCCAGAGGAGGACAUCCUGUUUCAGUGGCGUCUGAGGAGAAAGAUGGAGCAGGCCAGUCAGUGGGUUCGGUCAAACCCACAGCAGGGUUACACCCUUCAUCAGCACUCUGUGAGCUGUCAGGCUCACAAGGUACUUACCCCCUUGUCUACUACACCUGCUAUUUGAAAGAGGUUUUGAAGUCUCUUUGAAAUGUCUGCCAUUGUGUGGUAGUAUUAUCCAAUGCAUUUAGCGGAUCACAGAUCAUAUGAUUUGAUUUGUUCUCCUUCGUUAGGUACAGCGGAAUCCUCUCCCUGCCUAUUCCUCUCAUAGAGUUGCCCCCUCCCUCCCCAUCACCAGCCCCACCGUCUCUAAGUUGCAGCCGGAUGCCCCUGUCCGUCCCCACAUGCACCUCCUCUGUGACAUCCUUUCUUGUACCGCUCAGCCCCACUCCCCUCCACCCAGCCACCAGAGGAGCCCAAAGAGGAGUGAGGUCUCUGGGGCCGACCGGACCGUCAGGCAGCCCAAAGCCCAGUUCAGCUCCACAGACACCUCCACUGAGGAGCCCACUAGUAAACAUGAGUCCUCUCCACCACCGCCCGCCUUGUCUGUGACCACAGAGGAAGAGUGGGCAGUUCAACAGAGGAGAACCGAGAGGACAAAAAAGGAGACACUACAGAAGGAGAGGAGUGAGAAGCGGACAGGGCCGUCCUGCAGAAAGAAGAAAUUAGCCAGGUGUCACGUUGGUGACGGGGACCAUGCUGAGAGGCCCAGCUAUGCAGAUUGGAGUGUGAGCCAACACCACACCAGAGGUAAAGACCGGGUCAUCCCAUGGAGGGAGGAGCCCAGCAGAGACUGGGGGCAACAGGAAAGGGGGCCGGGGGUAGUGAGAGAGGGCUGCCCUGGAGAUCGUGCUCCACCACCCUCUCCCAUACACAGCGCCCUGGGACAGGUAGUUUCAGAGGUAUUGUUCCUGACCACGGACUCCCCGGACCCGCCCAGAACUCCUGUGUCCUCUGACUCUCCCAGAUAUGUGCCCCCGCAGUCCCCUGCCCCGCCUCCCAGUGCACAGCAUCCACGGGAGGUUGUAGCUCAGCUGCUUCAGGAGGCUGAAGGUGAGACUGCUUGGUGCAGUGGGGACUGCUGA
rnacentral:lncRNA from 1 species